GUGUCAGCAGCCGCGGUAAGACGUAGGAGGCGAGCGUUAUCCGGAUUCACUGGGCGUAAAGCGCAUGUAGGCGGUUGGAUAAGUCUGUUGUUAAAGCCCCCGGCUCAACUGGGGGAGGUCAAUGGAGACUGUCCGACUUGAGGGCAACAGAGGCACAUGGAACUCCCGGUGUAGCGGUGGAAUGCGUAGAGAUCGGGAAGAACACCCGUGGCGAAGGCGGUGUGCUGGGUUGCAACUGACGCUGAGAUGCGAAAGUGUGGGUAGCAAACGGGAUUAGAAACCCGAGUAGUCC
rnacentral:rRNA from 1 species